rnacentral:rRNA from 1 species
AGUGGCGGACGGGUGAGUAACACGUAAGAAUUUGCCUCUAGGAGGGGGACAACAGCUGGAAACGGCUGCUAAUACCCCAUAUGCUUUCGAGUGAAAUGAAAUUUUUCGCCUAGAGAGAAGCUUGCGGCUGAUUAGCUUGUUGGUAAGGUAAUGGCUUACCAAGGCGACGAUCAGUAUCUGGUUUGAGAGGACGAUCAGACACACUGGAACUGAGACACGGUCCAGACUCCUACGGGAGGCAGCAGUGGGGAAUUUUCCGCAAUGGGCGAAAGCCUGACGGAGCAAUCUCGCGUGAGGGAUGACUGCCUAUGGGUUGUAAACCUCUUUUUUCAGGGAGGAAUCAAUGACGUGUACCUGAAGAAUAAGCAUCGGCUAACUCCGUGCCAGCAGCCGCGGUAAGACGGAGGAUGCAAGUGUUAUCCGGAAUCACUGGGCGUAAAGCGUCUGUAGGUGGUUUACUAAGUCAACUGUUAAAUCUUGAAGCUCAACUUCAAAAUCGCAGUCGAAACUAGUAGACUAGAGUAUAGUAGGGGUAAAGGGAAUUUCCAGUGGAGCGGUGAAAUGCGUAGAUAUUGGAAAGAACACCGAUGGCGAAGGCACUUUACUGGGCUAUUACUAACACUGAGAGACGAAAGCUAGGGUAGCAAAUGGGAUUAGAUACCCCAGUAGUCCUAGCUGUAAACAAUGGAUACUAGAUGUU